rnacentral:rRNA from 1 species
AACGAACGCUGGCGGCAUGCCUAACACAUGCAAGUCGAACGAGACCUUCGGGUCUAGUGGCGCACGGGUGCGUAACGCGUGGGAAUCUGCCCUUGGGUCCGGAAUAACUCAGAGAAAUUUGAGCUAAUACCGGAUGAUGACGUAAGUCCAAAGAUUUAUCGCCCAGGGAUGAGCCCGCGUAGGAUUAGCUAGUUGGUGAGGUAAAGGCUCACCAAGGCGACGAUCCUUAGCGGUCUGAGAGGAUGAUCAGCCACACUGGGACUGAGACACGGCCCAGACUCCUACGGGAGGCAGCAGUGGGGAAUAUUGGACAAUGGGCGAAAGCCUGAUCCAGCAAAUGCCGCGUGAGUGAUGAAGGCCUUAGGGUUGU